UAUUACUUUUUAACUCUUCAGAGAAAUUCUCUUUAGACGCUAUACAAUGGAAGAGCCUUCAGAAAGCAUUAGCCUUGUACAGGUAGGAAGGUGAGGGGCUGUGAGAAAAUUGGGAGGCUAGCGUCAUUCCCUCAGUGACUCCACCUAAGCCACCCUAACACCCUGCAACUCCCUGACUUCAUAUUUCUUCUGGACCUCCAACCUCCUUCGAGUUAAUUAUUUAUGUUUGUUUGUAUUUUGUCUUUUAUAGAAUAAAGAAGAUGGAAGGAAAGUGAUGUUCCUGCCCCCUAAAGGCAUUUGCCAUGGCUGUCUAGGAUGAUUGGGAAAACUGGGGUCUGUAGAGACACAGCUCUAAGUUCCACACCUUGCUUCUUCCUGCUGCCCUGAACAAUCUUUCAGAGCCCAUAAUGAGAGGAUGCUGUGGCUGAUUUUUUUUUUUUUUUUUUGCUACACCCACAAAGAAAGGCACCAUUUGAGAGAGCUGAGACUGGAAAUCUUACCAUGUGCUCCCAUUUCAGAUGUGAGCUAAAAUGAAAAAAGAGUUUCUUUCCUCCGUGACUUUGAGAAGAAGAGAGUGGAGAGUGGUGAUUAACAGCAAUAUAUUUUUUAAUGAAACGUAACCCGUCAUCCCUGUCAUCUUCUGGCCAUCCUCGCUUGUAUGCGCCUCCCUGACAAGAGGAAUAAUAAUGGUCAUACAUCACUGCUCUCCACGUGCAAUCAUCUAAAUCUUCCCUCGCUGCAGCCUCUGAGACUCAAUUACUUUAUUGACAUGCAAUCUUCAUAAGGGGAGAAAUAUUGUGCGUGUAAGGUCACUUGGUUAUGAAGACAUAUUAUCAUAUUAUCUGCAUGAGGGUUGCAGGGCUAAGACCUGACAGAGCUAAUUAUAAUGGUACAUGAUAGAAAGCUCAGUACACAUUAUUCGCUUGGCUGCACUAAAGGUGAGCUAAUCUGGACUCUGGCUAAUGCUUUGUGUGAUCCUCUGCUUCGAGCAUCUCACAAGGCUACUGUGAAGGCUACAGUCAGGCUUGACGAUGCACCAGAGGUUCAACUGAAGAGGCUUCCAAGCUCACAUGAUUGUUAAGUGUCCAUGUAUAUGUGGACUAUUGGAUAGAGGGCCAUUAUUCUGAACUGGUAUUGGUCAGAGAUCACCCUCUAUUGCUAUUCUUUUAUGCCUCUCCAACUUGGCAUCUCAUUUCAUAAAUCCAACAGGAAGAAAGUUGGUUAGCAAUCCAAAAGUCACAGGCAACCUAAUCAUGGUAUUAUAAUUUCAUUACCUUCCUAUAAUCUACUAGGAGCAAGGAUGGCAUAACUGCCCUCACAUGCACACAAGAAGAAAGGAUUGUACAAGGGUAGGAAUGCCAGGAAAUAUGUCUCGUGAGGACCAUGUUGAUCCUCUUACUAAAGCAGUGCAGUACACAUUAGAUGGCUCAGGGAAUAAGAAGGAGAAUCCACCAAGAAUAUUCAAAGACAGGAUGCCAGCCAGGAAGAACACAAUGAAGCCCAAGGACAAUGGAGGACUAUUAGAAGAAUGGGCAUUUUAAAAUGUGUGCUCAGUGGUAGAAAUAACAAGACUUAGGAACUAGUCUUCUGUGAGGAGUAGUGUGGAAGCUGCACUGGAAAAGAUUCUAAGGCUUUGAAAUUGAGCUAGGGGAAGAAAAGUAGGAGAGGGGGAGUUGAGAGGAAUGCUAUGGGUGGAGUUUUGGUGGAAGAAAAGAACUAUGAAUAUUGUUCAAGGUGAUUACAUACUUGAAAAAGGUGAAAGCUGCAGAGUUUAUGACAUUCAUCUUUGAGAGGCAUCUGCAUAUACAUGACAGCUGAUGACAUGUGAUGUAUAAAAAGAAUGGAGCCACCCUGAGCUAUUUGUCAGGGUGGGAUGAGGAUUCCCUGGUGAGUCCCAUACUGCUGUGGGGAUUCUAGUCUGACUUCUAGGCUAAAGGGAUGCAGAAGAGAAAUGUCUUCAGUUAUAAUGCCUGCCAAUAGCCAGCCACUUGAGUAUCUCAAAAGAAAAUUUCCAGAGGCAAUAAAAGGGCUAGCUGUAGGUAUAUAUGUGCAUGUGUGUAUAUAAAUGUAUACAUAUAAUUAUAUACAUUUAUUAAAUGAUUUAACUG